CAGGCAUCGGUGGGUAAGAAGAAGCAGGCAUUAGUUUAAGUUUCAGGCCACAUCUCAAAACCUCUGGCUUUUUUCUGCCUACAAUACCUAAUGCCAAUAUUGCAGACGAUUCAUGACCCAAGCUAUUUGUGAGGUAUUUAAAUGACCAAUGCUCGUACUUUUAACCCGACAUAACAGUCACCCUUAAGUCAGCAUUGAUAGGAUCAAAACAUGUUUCGAUUUUCAACUUCAUGAGCCGACCGACCAAUUGAAACGAAUGAAUCCAUUCAACUGAAAGAGUGAAUGUCUAGGGAAACCCAAGUGCCAAAUAACUGCGGCCGAGUGCAAGUGAACCUUGGACGGAUUGGCCCAAUCGAUAAGUGCUAAAGACCAGAAGACCCACCAAGUCAUCAGCUGAUUGUUGAUCCCCCAAUUCACCUCCUGAUUCGCGUCCCAUCCCGUGAUCGUUGGACCAUAGUAGAAAAAUGCGGAACCGCCGCCCCAAACUGCCCGAUUUCUUCCGGCACAAGAUCCAGAACUUUGUGCGGAACUUUGUGUUCAUGUCCAUCGGAUGGAUCACCAUUUGGUCCGUGUACGCCACGUUCAGCGAGUUCUUCCGCAAUGGUGAUGUGACCCGUCGAUUUGGAUUCGGCCCUCAUCAUUUCCUCUGAUCUGAUCUCAUUCAACCAUAAUUUUGUACCUUUUUUUCCACUCGACCAUGUGUUUUUAUCCGAAUAAACCGAAUUAAAUGGA